UAGAGUGCUUGGGAAAGGGAGUCUUAAAUACCUGUGUAUAACGUGCCACUUCUGGCACACCAGUACGCAAAAUUUUGUGGGUUAACCAAACUUUUUUGUACAAACAUGUUCGUCUACCUCCUGUUUAUAUUCAUUUCCUGUGACACAGCCUUUUCCUCAAACCCUCGUGCUAGUAAGUAUAGCAGUGUCUAGCUUACAUGAGUUAAUCUCAAGUGGAUAUUUAAAGGAUUAGGCUCUGAUUAAAAGUCAACUGAUUCUAUACUUUAGGUGGUAGGGUGACUCAGAAUGCCUUUGUCAGAUGUCUUUAACCUCUCCAGCUGUCCUGUCAUUGAGGAUGAGUCAGAAGCUGGAGUCCUACAACUAACACUAAAUCUGGAAGGCUCAACUGUUAGCAUAACUGAUUUGACAACCUGGGGGAGGAUGCGGACUCGUGUGUUACUGAGGUGACAGCAGCCUUUCCAGAGUGUUGCCAGCAUCUUUCAGGGAAAAGAAGAGAAUCUCAGUCUUUUGUUUUAUUCUACACUUGAUAGGAAAAACAAUCUUUUCUAGGACAAGUGGGCUGACAGUGGUCUGGUAGAAGAAACAGUAUUCAGAGGGAACUUCUUAGGCUGGUUGUGCAAUGAACGUUUUGUGCAUUUUCUUUGAAAAAACGGUAAGUCUGGUAUUUUUGGGAAAGUAAGGAGCUCAUAUAUUCAGUCCUGAUGUAUUCAUACCUGUGUCAUCCACCACGAAGAGGACAAAGAGAGGCUCCCUUAGGAACCCUGGGCAGAAUGAUGAUGGCACUAAGCUGUAGUUAAAAUUCAAGCUCUAUUUUCUUAACAGGGUAUUAUGAUUACUAUAGCACAGAAUUUAUGAUUAGAAGGGCACAGGAUUUCUACAAGCAGAAUCUUACGUAGUACAACUUGUGAGUAGCAUAAUCCAGCAUUUGUAAUACAACUUAAUUUACAAUUUCUAAUCACCUGCACCCUCUGCAGGUCAGGUCAAACCUUAAGGCAUGCUUUGCUGUAUCAAAGUAACAACCGUAAUCUAGACUUGAACAUCAUAAUAAAGCAUACAAGUCACUCCCUCGGUGCUGGGUGGAAGCAGACAGCAGUGCAGGUGUCCCUGGUCACUGGGGGCCCCAGGUCUCACUGUCCAGCAGUGGUUCAGGCCCAAGUUCUUCCCCAGUUAGGGCUUGUAUCAGCUUGGUUUUACAGACAGUGCUGUGCACACUGUUACACUUCCCUGUUCUGUGGUGGGAGCAUCAACAGCACUUUGCUGGCUGUGUGCCUGGGCCCUUCAAGGCUGGCAAGGAGGGGAGUUACCGGCCUGGUGCCCAGGAACAUUCAGGCUGGGAGGGAGAGGACAAAGAAAUGUGUUUGUCUUGUCUACUUGGUUCACAGGACCUUCAAGGCCUGAUAACGAGAGAAAAGGGACAAAAACGUGAUCCGCUUAGUCACAGAAUGGCUGCUUGCCUUAUAAAAUGGCAUUAGUUAUGUUAAACAUAUGACCAGGGGUCAGGAGCAGGGAGUAACAGUCACACACCUGAUGCUAAUUUUGGUAGCACUGUCCUGUAGAUACUAAGUAGAAACACUGCUCCUUACAAUGAACAUUUUACAAUGAACAUUUUAAAAAAAGACAUCCUGUAAGUCAUCCUGUGUAUACUGUGGUUUGAGUCCCCAUGUCAGAUUUCUGGCCUUCCCUGCCUUUGAGCCUUCCAAAGGAGAGCUCUGCGCUUCUUGGUCACCUGGCAACUAUGUACACAAUACGAGAGCACAUGAUUUUUCUCUUUUCAAGUGACGUCAUCUUGAUUUUAGCCAUAGUUACAAACAGCUAUUGUCAGGUUAUAGAUGUUUUGUUUUGUUUUGUUUUUUUUCCCAGAGAAACUCCACAGAUCUAAGAGCAAGUUUUCAUAAACUUGAAAUGAAAUAUAACUAGACUUGUUAUUUUAGGUCUACAGGCAUACAGCAACAUUGGGGUUUUUGUGUUUUGUUGAUGAUUACUCUGGCUGCAUGUUUGACUGCGUUUGUGGUUUAGUUUUUCUUUAGUGUUUAUUACAUGAACAAUGCUUUCAUUUUACUUCCACAAUAUCUCCUACAGGCUUCAACAGAAAUGUAUACAGGAACAGUAUCCUAGUUCUAUAAUGCCAUUUGGAUUGUCUUAAAAUACAGCUUUUACAGUGUUAAUCCUAAAAUUUUCACUGUUUUUAAAGGUUUUUUUUAAAACAAGCCUGAUUAGAUUUGGAAUUCUCUGAACAGUUGUGAAAAUAAACUAGUGUCUGUAAUCGAGUUGCUAAACUUGGGGUCUGCUGUAGUCAGGAUCAGAAUAAAACAAACUGCAAUAAAAAUGUUCAUUAACCAGAAAAUAGUAUCUUGCCAAACCAAGACUUUUAAGAAUGAGAGAAACUGGCUAUCUAAAAAGGCAGAAUAUCUCUGUGUAAAAGCUUGCUAAAGAAGCAAUUUAUGGGACUGGAUAAAUCUUUUAAUAAUUAAUUUUUUUUCUCAGAGCAGAUGCAACUUCCCUGGAAGGGGUAGGGGAGGUAUGUAAGAAACAGAGCACACAGGGGUAAGAAAUUAUAAGCACACAGCGGUAUUUUAAGACUGGGCAAGGAUACGCUCUACAGAAAAUACCCCUGAUGUUUUCUGCAACUUAAAGUGUUUUCAUAGAAUCAAUCAUAGAAUGCUAGGGGUUGGAAGGGACCUUAAGCAAUCAUCUAGUCCACUAAGAGUUACUGUAUGUUUGGAUUUAAUUCCUGCAUUUAUUUUCACUAUUGGAAAAAACUUAAAACUGUUUUAAAGUAUGGGAUUUUUUUCCAUGUCUGAAAUUUUGCACUGUGAUGCCACAUACAGCUCACCCAGGUUUACCUUCUCUUACCAGAACACAUCUGUCCAAUACAGAUUGGUUACUCGGGCAUUGGAAUAGAAGCUGUGAAAAUGAAGAACAUCUACACCUGUCUGUGAUCAGGAAAAUAGCAAGCACUUGGAAUAUGCUUUAAUCCGUGCUUCAUCUGAUGAUUUAAAGUAUUUGGAAACAGUGUUGUCUUGCUUUUAUUGUACAUCUACCUCUCUUCAUAAAUCCUCCACUGAGUGGAAAGAAUCUCAAGGAAUCUGAACAAAUGGGCAUUAGCAUGAGGAGAGAGAUGACGUGACAGACUCCACAACAACAGAGCGAGUGGAUUUUGUCCAUUCAGAUCAUAUCUCUGAAUGGCUUUGAGCAGAAAACUAAUUAAAUAUCAUUUAUUCUUGAAAAUAAACUUCGUUUUAAAACUCUAAGAACACCAUUAAUUUUACAUGUCAAGUAUACAGUUAAAGUUUGUCACUGGUGCUUUGUGAAGAAAUUCUACUGUCCUUAUGCUUUUGAAAAGAGUAAACCAAUGCGAGGGAUGUUCUUCUUUGAAGAAAGCUUUCCCAGACUCUCAAGUUGAACUAAUGACUGGAAUGUGAAAUAGCAUGGAAUGGAGCCUUUGAAUAACUAAAUCAUGGAUGUGUUACGUGCUUGUUAAACUAGGUUCAGCACUUUUUCAUGCCUUAGUUUGGUUUAUGAGCUCUUCAUUGCCAUAAUACUCAUAACUUUGUUAUGAAUCCAACUUGAAAAAACAAAAUCUUGAAAAAAUGUGCUAACAGUUCGUUGUGUCUACUUCUCAUUUUGGAAUAAACCAGUGUUAAGUUUGGAUGACC